rnacentral:snRNA from 1 species
GUACUUAACCUGGCAAGGGAUCAUGAAUGGUUUCCCCAGGGUGAGGUUUUUUUAAUUACGUAUGGUAUGUUGUUGAUCUCUAUGAUUUCCCCAAAUUCUGGAAACUUGACUGCAUAAUUUGUGGUAGUGGGGGACUGCAUUCAUGUUACCCCCUC